GAUGAACGCUGGCGGCGUGCCUAAUACAUGCAAGUCGAACGCUUCACUUCGGUGAAGAGUGGCGAACGGGUGAGUAAUACAUAAGUAACCUGGCAUCUACAGGGGGAUAACUGAUGGAAACGUCAGCUAAGACCGCAUAGGUGUAGAGAUCGCAUGAACUCUAUAUGAAAAGUGCUACGGGACUGGUAGAUGAUGGACUUAUGGCGCAUUAGCUUGUUGGUAGGGUAACGGCCUACCAAGGCGACGAUGCGUAGCCGACCUGAGAGGGUGACCGGCCACACUGGGACUGAGACACGGCCCAGACUCCUACGGGAGGCAGCAGUAGGGAAUUUUCGGCAAUGGGGGAAACCCUGACCGAGCAACGCCGCGUGAAGGAAGAAGUAAUUCGUUAUGUAAACUUCUGUCAUAGAGGAAGAACGGUGGAUAUAGGGAAUGAUAUCAAAGUGACGGUACUCUAUAAGAAAGCCACGGCUAACUACGUG
rnacentral:rRNA from 1 species